rnacentral:rRNA from 1 species
GACGAACGCUGGCGGCGUGCUUAACACAUGCAAGUCGAACGGUAAGGCCCUGCUUUUGUGGGGUGCUCGAGUGGCGAACGGGUGAGUAACACGUGAGUAACCUGCCCUUGACUUUGGGAUAACUUCAGGAAACUGGGGCUAAUACCGGAUAGGAGCUCCUGCUGCAUGGUGGGGGUUGGAAAGUUUCGGCGGUUGGGGAUGGACUCGCGGCUUAUCAGCUUGUUGGUGGGGUAGUGGCUUACCAAGGCUUUGACGGGUAGCCGGCCUGAGAGGGUGACCGGCCACAUUGGGACUGAGAUACGGCCCAGACUCCUACGGGAGGCAGCAGUGGGGAAUAGUGCACAAUGGGCGGAAGCCUGAUGCAGCAACGCCGCGUGCGGGAUGACGGCCUUCGGGUUGUAAACCGCUUUCGCCUGUGACGAAGCGUGAGUGACGGUAAUGGGUAAAGAAGCACCGGCUAACUACGUG